CUUUAAUUCUCCUAAUUAAAACUCAUAAAAAAAAUUAAAAAAUUUUUUUCCAAAAAAAAAAAACUUGCGUCACCAUCCCACCUCCCAGCCACACUUCGACGGCCGUUUCUGUGAGAAUCUAGGGUUUCGAUAUGGUUUCCCCAAUUAUUCGUUGAGAUUCUGGCAAUCUUCAGAAUUCGUGAAAUUUCGGCUAAAAUAUGAAUAAUUUUGCAGGAAUUUCCAUUCUCUGGGUGAAGAUCCUUGUUGCUCUGGUUUUCCGGCCAUUAUAGAGAUGCCUUGAAGCUUGAUCAUGAUGCCUGUGGCAACAUAGAUGCUACAAUUGCAUUAUGUUUCAGUGACUUAGAGGGAAUUGAGGAGUGGACAUUAUCCCAAGAUUAUCGAGAUAACCCAACAAGCAGAUAAAUGUCUACAAGAAGACGACAUGGUAAGCUAAUAUUGUGCAGUUGCUGUGAUAAUGUUGAGAUAACGCAACAAGCAGGGAAAUGUCUACAAGAAAACUACAUAGUGAAUGAACCAUCUUCAACUCCAAGAAGAAGAGCUUUCAACUUGCCGAGUGUAGCAUCCAUUGAAGAAUUGAAAACCUGAAGUUUUGAGGAGUUGCUUAAGGCUUACUGGGAGACAAGAUCAGGGAAGCAAGCCAAUGGGGAUGUUAAGCAGUUUUUUGAAGCUCAAGCUCAUGUUCAAGCCUCAUGGGAUUCAAGAGUUCCACGUACUGCCAUAAACUCAUAGUGAUAAGGACAUGAAUCAGAAAGCAUGGAGACGGCUUCCUGAUAUUAGAAGGGAAUGCUUGUACAGUAUACAAGCUUGAUUGAUUAUUGUAUUGAACUCAAUUUGAGUUCUUGUUAUAUACAUGGUUAGUGGAUCAAUUUCUGUAUUUAUUUGUGUGAUAUAUCUAUUUGUAAAUUUGAGGAAUUGGAUCAGAUUUUUGUGUAGAAUUUUUCACCUCUGUGAAAUGGCCUCCCAGUUAGGGGAUCAUUUAUUUUGUUAUGCAGGUCAUGGGAUGAAUUUCCUUUUUGUUAAACUAUAAGUACUUGUCAUCAGUCCCUGGCAAAAAGUAUCUCUUUAACCUCUUAAAAGAGGUGUAUUUGGGGGAAGAGUAAGUUUGU